rnacentral:rRNA from 1 species
UUUUUUUUGGGUAAAGUCGGGGGGCGUUAUAUAUAUUUUUGCGUUCGCUGUUGGUCGUCUUUUGGCGGCGGUAAAAUGGGUAAAGGCAAGGUAUGUAAAACCAUAGUGUAGGCAUGAGAAUGAGCUAGAGCGGCAAGCAUAAGGGAGAAAGUGGUGCACAACAUGUCGGAUGCGAUCAUACCAGCACUAAAGCACCGGAUCUCAUCAGAACUCCGAAGUUAAGCGUGCUUGGGCGAGAGUAGUAAUAGGAUGGGUGACCUCCUGGGAAGUCCUCGUGUUGCAUCCC